rnacentral:rRNA from 1 species
ACGGGGGGUGCAAGCGUUGUUCGGAAUUAUUGGGCGUAAAGAGCGUGUAGGCGGCUGAAUAAGUCAGAUGUGAAAUCCCUGGGCUUAACCCAGGAAGUGCAUUUGAAACUAUUCAGCUUGAGUAGGGGAGAGGAAAUUUUGAUUCCUGGUGGUGAGGUGAAAUUCGGAGAGAGCAGGAGGAAAAAAGGGGGCGAAGGAGAAGGGAUGGCCCUAUACUGACGCUGAGACGAGAGGGAGUGGGUAGCAAACAG